UGGCUGCUGAUUCUCCUGAUCAGUUGGUUACAAUUCACAAGUAGAUUAAAUUUCUUCAUCGGUAGGUGCUCGCUCAACCAGAUUAAAACUGUCCUUGGAUUCUGCCGUAAUUCAGGUUGCCUUGCGCGGUGUGGCUGCGGCGAAGUCGUUCCAAAAGGAUCUGAACAAGAUCGCUGAGAAGGUUCAGGCUUCUGACCAGCGCUGGUACAAGUUCAUAUUGACUGAGACCAUACGUUCCUUGCGCCGCCACAAGGAUAGCUGCAUCUCUUCAAGCUUGUCGGCUGAUGUGAAAGAUUAUAGGAAGGAGCAUUUCAACAAGAUUUCCAUAGAAGAGAGGAGCAAAUUCGAUGAGGAAACAUUCAGCAACUUGGACGGGAUCAAGAGCAAGAGAAGCUACUCGAGGAAAACAGGCGUCUCCAAAAACGAAUAUACAGUGUCUGCAGUUAACCAUUCUGAUCGCUGCGGAAGGAGCACUGCAGUUCCCCGGAGUCAGAAGCUCUGCAGAUCUAGAAGCAGUAGUGGGAAAGCUCAACUCUAUUCCUGCAGGAGAAAUUCGGGGUAUUCAUGUCCUGUAGACUCCUCAGCAAGAGAACGACGUGCUCUCAGAAGAGAGCUGAAGGAGGAUUACCCGUACCUGAAACCCUUGCGCGAUGACUAGCAGGGACGCCGUUCUCUUCACGUCCUUGAGUUUUUUUUUUUCGAAAUCUUCUAGGCUGUCCAUACUAGUUAGGAGUUGAACAUUUUUUUUUUCGAAAUCGGAAGUUUUGUAAAUUUCAAGAUUGUUGUUACUACUUACUAGUUAGAAGUUGAACAUAUUGAGAAUGUGAAGGUCUGUGUCUGUUUUCUCAUUUAUAUUCCCUCUAUU